AUUUUAAAGCACUCAAUGGGACUUUUACUCGUGACCCAUUCAGCCAUCAAGAAGAGACAGAGUAAAAUCACCACUUUUGGGUGAAGUGGCAACUUGUGUUGUUUUACUUCAGUUAGUGUCGUGACAAGA
rnacentral:snoRNA from 1 species